rnacentral:lncRNA from 1 species
UCCACAAAUAGCAUAAAUAUGCCCGUCCUAGCAAAGUUUCUCCAUCAAGAUGCUCUUAUGUCAUGCAUGUUGUGAUCAAAAUCGCCUUCCCUCUCUAUUGAACUAGCUGCCAUAAUGUUAUACGAGUAUAUCAUCUAGCCGGCUCUUAAGCUGAGUGCUACCCUGACACUGUCACAUGUAAUGGAUCUCAUCUACUUAAUGCUAUUUAUGAAAAGCUCGUCAGCUGCAUAUGCAUGUAUCACACCAUAACUAAAAAAGACUUCCGAAUGGACACUACCUACAUAACAUCAUCCUAAUUUUCUCUUAAGAGGCCCGCAAUAGCGGUCCCCAACCACUAGUGUGACAUGAAGGCAACACAAGCGAGCUGCAUUUUAUUCUCUUUGGAUUGCAAACACAUAAAUUAACAUCACGGAAGUACAUUAAAAAUGCAUUCACAAAUUACAAGCAAACUAAGGCCCUGUUCAUGGCAGUUGUGGCCGUGGGGAUCCGGCUCGUCGAAGGUGGCAGAGGCAGUGGGGAGAUGGCGGGGGUGCUCAGAUCCGCCCCCGGUUGGGUGCGGGCUAGCAUCACGUCCCGCGGCAAAACACAUGAUGGGGUGGGCAACCGGCGGCACGGGGUGAAAGGGGCACGGCGGCAACCUGAGUGGGCACGAGGUCAAGUCCAUGGACGGAUCUGGCAGUAGCGCGUCCGUGGCGGUGGUAGGUGGUGGGCUUGGGCUGAGGCAUGGAGGGGAGAUGCGGGGCGCACUGCAGGGGGGUUGGUGGUCGUGGUGGUGAAAAGUAGGCCCAUCAGCGGUAACAAGAAGGACGAGGAGGCGCGGCGGCCCCGUCCAGGAGGAAGAGGGGCGCGGCGGCACCAGCCAGUAGGAAGAGGUGGCGCGACGGCCCCGGUCAGGAGGAAAAGGGGACACGGGGAGGCGUGGCGCCGACCAGAAGGAAAAGGGAAGUGGGUCGUGCGGGAUGGGGUGCGGGUGGAGCUUGGCGUGUGGAGUGGGGCUAGGCUGGCUGAUUCGGCAUCCUCUUUCGUACUUGGGUGAGUCUUUUUGUGUUGCUUUUAGUAGAACAAGGAGGGGAGGGGCACCGGGUGGGGUGUU